UACGUAGGGUGCAAGCGUUGUCCGGAAUUAUUGGGCGUAAAGAGCUUGUAGGCGGUUUGUCGCGUCUGCUGUGAAAUUUCGGGGCUCAACCCCGAACUUGCAGUGGGUACGGGCAGACUAGAGUGUGGUAGGGGAGACUGGAAUUCCUGGUGUAGCGGUGAAAUGCGCAGAUAUCAGGAGGAACACCGAUGGCGAAGGCAGGGUCUCUGGGCCAUAACUGACGCUGAGAAGCGAAAGCAUGGGGAGCGAACAG
rnacentral:rRNA from 1 species